GAAGAAGAAAAGAGAGAGAAAAAAGUGAGCACAGAAAAAUACAGGGGACUUAGGUAUGUCGUAUAUACGUGUGUCUUAUACUUUGUUCACGCAGUCUUUUCGGUUCUGCUUCU
rnacentral:ribozyme from 1 species